rnacentral:rRNA from 1 species
CCUACGGGAGGCAGCAGUGAGGAAUAUUGGUCAAUGGGCGGAAGCCUGAACCAGCCAAGUAGCGUGCGGGAUGAAGGCCCUACGGGUCGUAAACCGCUUUUGCACGGGGAUAACACCCUCCACGUGUGGCGGUCUGCAGGUACCGUGCGAAUAAGGGCCGGCUAAUUCCGUGCCCGCAGCCGCGGUAAUACGGAAGGCCCGAGCGUUAUCCGGAUUCAUUGGGGUUAAAGGGAGCGUAGGCGGGCGUUCAAGUCAGCGGUAAAAUUGCGGGGCUCAACCGCGCCCCGCAGUUGAAAAUGGCGGUAUUGAGUUGACGAGAGGUAGGCGGAAUUCGUGGUGUAGCGGUGAAAUGCAUAGAUAUCACGAAGAACCCCGAUUGCGAAGGCAGCCUGCCGGGGUGCGACUGACGCUGAGGCUCGAAGGUGCGGGUAUCAAACAGGAUUAGAUACCCGUGUAGUC